GUUGUGGCAAAUUCCACAGCCGGGUUUAGCAGCCCGCACAACAAAAGGCGUCCGAACCGCGCCCGUAACAGCGCGGUUUUCCU
rfam:Haematospirillum jordaniae strain H5569, complete genome.